UACAGAGGGUGCGAGCGUUAAUCGGAUUUACUGGGCGUAAAGGGCGCGUAGGCGGUUAAUUAAGUGAGAUGUGAAAGCCCCAGGCUUAACCUGGGAAGUGCAUUUCAAACUGAUUAACUGGAGUACGAGAGAGGGUGGUGGAAUUUCCGGUGUAGCGGUGAAAUGCGUAGAGAUCGGAAAGAACGUCAAUGGCGAAGGCAGCCACCUGGCUCGAUACUGACGCUGAGGCGCGAAAGCGUGGGUAGCGAACAGGAUUAGAUACCCUGGUAGUCCACGCUGUAAACGAUGAUAACUAGAUGUGUGUAGGGGAACCUAUGCGUAUCGAAGCUAACGCGAUAAGUUAUCCGCCUGGGAAGUACGGCCGCAAGGUUGAA
rnacentral:rRNA from 1 species